UACGGGGGGAGCAAGCGUUGUUCGGAUUUACUGGGCGUAAAGGGCGCGUAGGCGGUCAGCACAAGUCAGUUGUGAAAUCUCCGGGCUUAACUCGGAAAGGUCAACUGAUACUGUGCGACUAGAGUGCGGAAGGGGCAACUGGAAUUCUCGGUGUAGCGGUGAAAUGCGUAGAUAUCGGAGAGGAACACCUGCGGCGAAGGCGGGUUGCUGGGCCGACACUGACGCUGAUGCGCGAAAGCCAGGGGAGCGAACGGG
rnacentral:rRNA from 1 species